rnacentral:rRNA from 1 species
UACGUAGGGUGCAAGCGUUGUCCGGAAUUAUUGGGCGUAAAGAGCUCGUAGGCGGUUUGUCGCGUCUGCUGUGAAAACUCGAGGCUUAACCCCGGGCCUGCAGUGGGUACGGGCAGACUAGAGUGCGGUAGGGGAGACUGGAAUUCCUGGUGUAGCGGUGAAAUGCGCAGAUAUCAGGAGGAACACCGGUGGCGAAGGCGGGUCUCUGGGCCGUAACUGACGCUGAGGAGCGAAAGCGUGGGGAGCGAACAGG